rnacentral:rRNA from 1 species
AUUGAACGCUGGCGGCAGGCCUAACACAUGCAAGUCGAACGGUAACAGGAAGCAGCUUGCUGCUUCGCUGACGAGUGGCGGACGGGUGAGUAAUGUCUGGGAAGCUGCCUGAUGGAGGGGGAUAACUCCUGGAAACGGUAACUAAUACAGCAUAAUGUCGCAAGACCAAAGAGGGGGACCUUCGGGCCUCUUGCCCUCGGAUGUGCCCAGAUGGGAUUAGCUUGUUGGUGGGGUAACGGCUCACCAAGGCGACGAUCCCUAGCUGGUCUGAGAGGAUGACCAGCCACACUGGAACUGAGACACGGUCCAGACUCCUACGGGAGGCAGCAGUGGGGAAUAUUGCACAAUGGGCGCAAGCCUGAUGCAGCCAUGCCGCGUGUAUGAAGAAGGCCUUCGGGUUGUAAAGUACUUUUAGCGGGGAGGAAGGGAGUAAAGUUAAUACCUUUGCUCAUUGACGUUACCCGCAGAAGAAGCACCGGCUAACUCCGUG